rnacentral:rRNA from 1 species
CAGCAGCCGCGGUAAUACGGAGGGGGCUAGCGUUGUUCGGAAUUACUGGGCGUAAAGCGUACGUAGGCGGCUUUGUAAGUUAGAGGUGAAAGCCUGUGCUCAACACCAGAACUGCCUUUAAGACUGCAUCGCUUGAACGUCGGAGAGGUGAGUGGAAUUCCGAGUGUAGAGGUGAAAUUCGUAGAUAUUCGGAAGAACACCAGUGGCGAAGGCGGCUCACUGGACGACUGUUGACGCUGAGGUACGAAAGCGUGGGGAGCAAACAGGAUUAGAUACCCCUGUAGUCCCUGUCUCUUAUACA